GAUGAACGCUGGCGGCGUGCCUAAUACAUGCAAGUCGAGGGACCAGACGAGUAUAUCGAUACUCUUACUUUAGCGCCGGAAAGGUGAGUGAAACGCGGAUAACACUUCUCUUAGACUGGGGUAAAUCCCGGAAACACCCGGUAUUAUCGCCCAAUAUAUAAAACAGUAUGGUCCCUUUAUUAAUGAAGCUCCUGCUGUUCGUUAUAGGCGGACGGGUGAUUAGUUAGCUAGUUGAGGUAAUGGCUGACCAAGCAUACGACGAGGAACUGGUGGGAGGGCACGACCAGUCAGACGGGAACUGAGACACGGGCCCGACCCCGACGGGAGGCAGGAGUAAGGAAUAUUAGGCAAUGGAGGCAACUCUGACCCAGCCAUGCCGCGUGGAGGAUGAAGGCCCUCUGGGAUGUAAACUUCUUUUAUAGGGGACGAAACCUGUGUAUUCUUACGCAGUUGACGGUACCCUAGGAAUAAGCACCGGCUAACUCCGUG
rnacentral:rRNA from 1 species